AUGAUUAACCAUCAGCAGAACUGCUCUCCCUUUUGCCACCAGACAGCACUGCCUCACAGACCUCAUGCACAUGGCUUCUUUUCUCACCAGGAGCUGCAGGAAGGAGCCUGUAGCACCGAGGAGAGGGGGCAGCGAGUGCUUUCCCAGUCUAGAGGCUGUGUGCCCUGCCCCAAUCCUACUGGGGUCACUGCUGGAGAUGAGCUGGCACACACUGCUGCAGCAGGGCACCGUGGAGGUGACUGUGCAAGAGACACCAAUGGUCACAGGAUGUACAGCUCUUGCCAUGGAUGUGUGCAGCAGCCACGGUGCUUUGCACACAUGAGCAGGGUUGGAGCCCAGGCCAACAUUUCUGCCCUUUGCUGGAAUGAAGAACUGUUCCCAGCGAGAGUUACAGAUACGUUAAAGGGUUUUACAGCUGUUGGGGUGACUUUGGCUCACUUUGAGCUCCUGAAAGCUGCCGUGUUUUCCUGCAGGUGCCAUGUCAUGCAGUUCUUUCUAUGGGUCCCACCUCAAUAUCUGCCUCCCUUCUCCCAGCAGAGGGGACAUCUCCAGUUACCAGCUGCAGGGGGCUGUGCCAGGUCCCACUGGGAUUUUGUGCAGAUUUAA
rnacentral:lncRNA from 1 species